UUUUUUUUUUUUUUUUUUUUGUCGAUACGAUAGCGUCCUACACUAUAGCGAGGGGGAGGGCCGGAAGAGGUCUUGAAGUAAUCCGAAAGGAAUUGAACCACUAUCGGACCAAACGGGUGCACAACACACCCGCCUGAAUUUUUUAAACAUGGCCACAUUUAAUUGUGGCACCAAGCCUUAAUGCAUUGCCAAAGGCUGGUGGUUAACUCAGGACUGAAGUAGCCUUAACUCAGGACUGAAGUAGCCAAAGUUGUUCUUUGGCAAGUCGAAUCUCGUCUCCUUGACCAUAUUACACGUUGUUCUAAUCCGUCCACACCUGCAAAAUUUCUGCAUUUACACUUGACCAAUCUUGGAAAUUUCUGUCCUUAAGUGCCAUCAUUAGGCUGCAUAAGGAAACUCUCUGCUUUCUCGGAAAUGGGCCUCUUUGAAAAACUUUUGUCUGGGUCUUGCCUCAAGCUAUUGUAGUGGUUUUUUAAAGCAUAAUUUAUGGGUUCUAGAAAUUGGGAGGUUAAACCUAUAUCUAUAUGGUAUGCAUUUUCCCAUCAUAGUACGAUUGUAGUUUCAAUAGUGUACUUCGCUGAAUUUGAAAUCUCAAGUCAAUUACCAUAUUAAAAUUGACAAUGAAGAAAAAAUUCUGGUGUCCCUCUAAUAAAAUCUUCUUUUCUUGAGGCUACUUCAGUGAGGCCUUCACUUCCUUUUUUUGUAUGAUUUUAGAUUAAGCAAAACAUUUGUUUGCUCAAUACUCUAUUGACCAAUCUCAAUUAUCUAUUUUUUAUUUUUUUGGACAAACCCCGUGUAUGGGGGUAGAAUGUCAGUCCAAUUUCAGUUAACUUAAGAAGCUAAAACUUAAAAUAAGUUUUUAUGACUAAAGAGAGAGCACUGUUUAAAAAAAAAAAAACUUGAUGAAAUUCUGAUUUCAAAAGCCUUAGUAAUCUUGACGAUAAUAAUAUACAUAUACGUCAGUUCAAUUAUCUGGAUUAGGCCAUAAAUCAAACGUGAGGGAAUUCCCAGCUUUUUUAAUUCAUUGCAUUAGCUUCAUUUAACCAUCUGUUUUAAUUAAAUCCAUGUCAUUUUUUUGUUUUUUAGGUGUGUCCCGCAGGGAGUGGACCCCGCAGACUAUUCACCACCCUCAGCAACUUGCUGGCAGCAAGGUUCGAACCAGGGACCUGAAUCUCCAUCUUCAGCAAUCUCAACCACCAGACCAAGCCCCUGAGGGCAAUUAAAUCCAUGUCAUGAAAGAUGGUAGAUGACCUUGUUAAUCAUGAUGUGAACUCUUAAUUUAAUUGACAAAUUGGAGCAAUGUCCACUAAUCAUUCUUUUUGUAAAAAUCUGUUCAACUUGUGAAGGUCUUCGAGCAUAAAAUAUUGCAAUAAUUGAAAUAAUAUUACUAUUAUUUUAUUUCAUGUCUUAUUGGCAAGAUAACUUACUUUAUCUCAAGUGGAAUUGCCAUGUUUAAAUACACGAGUUGUUUCUUUUAGACCUAUUGUCACCGGGCAUGAUGGAGGAGAGAGGAAUAGAUUGAAUAGUUUGAAAGGAAGAGAUAUAAGUGAGAAAUCUCGAGUUCAAACUCCAAUACUUACACUUGAAAAAAAAAAAAAAAAGGCAUGACAUAGUUGUACCUCCCCAGAUAAAUUUUCUAACACGGGUAUUUCCUUCUUUUAUUUAUUUUCUUUUUUCGUUCUUAGUUGAUGGAAAAAGACAUACAAGUUCCAUUUGUGUUUUUUGACAAAAAAAAAAAAAAAAGUUCCAUUUGUGGAAGUUGUACACGUAUGCUGACUUUUCUCCAAUAGAAAGUUUGAAUUCCUAAAAACAAAGAAAGCGCCCUUUCGAAGUCUAAUGGGGCCACAAAAUUUGUGACGGUCACAAAAUUUAUCACAAUAUGUGACGGUUUUCAUUGAUCAGUUUCGAUGGAGUUUCUAUUCACAUCGAGUCUCCACAUCCUCCCCUUAGAAUAGACUAGUUUAGGUUAUAGAAAUUCUAUCGUAUCACCAAAAAAAAAAAAAAAGAAGUCUAAUGGGGCCACGUGAUGAUCUAAUUUUAUAUAAAUGGUUGAAGUGUAAACGAAGAAAUUUUUAGGUGUGGACAGAAUAAAAUAACAAGCGUUUUGGUCAAGGAGACGAGAUACUACUAGCCAAAAAUAUACUCCAAUUAUUUCGGGCAGCAGAAUUGUGGCACGUUUUUUUGCCAGUAAGGAUUCUUAAUCUUGGUCAGUCAACUUAAAAUGAAGUAAACGAUGCUCUUUAACAUGAUACAAGAAAGGCCUUCUUUGGUUCACUAAAUAGAUUAUACAAAAAUUAUUCUUAUCAUAAAAUUAACCCCAACGAAAUGUGCACGGUCUUCGCGAGAACUGCCAGUCAGAUUGAAAAGAGGCUCCAUGUACCUUUCUAAGGAGCAAAUAAGGAGACAAGGCAAACGCCAAAGGGCUACCAAAUUGAUGAGGCAGACAAUUACGUGUCAGCUGUGCCCUAACAUGUUUUAACAAAACCCCUUAUAGAUAUGUAUUUUUUAACCCUGCCAUUCCUUUCUACACCUGUUCUGUUCCUAUCUGUCGAGCGAGAUCCUGUCAUAGAUAUGUAUUUUUUUUUGUCGUAACAAUAGGAUUCCUAUAAGCUAAUCUAACCUAAUCUAGAGGGGAGGGGGAGGGAAUUCGAUGUGAAUAAAAACUCCAUCGAAAAUGGCCAAUGAAGACCGUCACAUAUUGUGACAAUUUUUUGGUAGAAGGCAAGAUUCGAAUCCUUGACCUCCCGCACCACCAAGUCUAAGAAGGCCUGGGAGUGGCCUAUCAUAGAUAUGUAGAUAUAUUUGGAAAAUUGUUAAAUAUAAUCGAGAUUAAGAGUGUCAGAAGCAUUUUCAGAGUUCAUCUUGUCAAGUUAUGGAAAUUCUGACGCAUUACAAUAAUAUGGUUAUGAAUUUAAUAAGGGGAGGAUUGGGUUGAGUGGUAAAAUGGAAAGAAUUGUAAAUAAAAAGUUAUGAAUUUAAAACCUCUCAUUUAUCCACAGAGAGAGAGAGAGAGAGAGAUUCAAAAAGAAAAAUAACCGAAACGAUUCAAUAAAUAAAAUCUCUAUAUUCUUACUACAGAGGAGGCUCGUAUUGGAAUUUUGCUACUAGUAGCUUCCCAUGAAUGCGUGAUUCCUAAGAAUUCAUUCGUGUAAGCAAUUGAAAAUGCGCUUUUAACAUCUUCUAUCUUUUAAUGUAGUGAUUUUUUCUUUUUCAUAAAUUUCUUCAUCCAAAAUAAUAAACGAGAAAAAAAAAAUAAACAGAAUUCUUGGAUGCGGGCAAUCAAUUUUCAGAUCGGAUACACUGAUAAUAAUCUAGGCAGCCACAUUUAGUGGUCUGGUCUGACCAUUCACCAUGCAGAUUUGACUGCUUUCUAACUGAAAUUUAGUGAUUUAGUGCUGGGGUUUUACCCUUCAUCAGGGAACAUAUGCUCACUUUUCCCAAUAAUUUUGAGGCUUUUGAAAUUGGUUUGUGAAAUUUUGUCCAUUAUUCUCAAAUAACAGAAUAAUAAGCUACAAGGUACCUACUACCUAUGAGGUUUGGCAUCUUGUUCCAUCUCAAUUUGCCAAUUCUCUCUGAGGAUGAUGCCAAGGUAAGUUCAGCAGCUGAUCAAGAUGAUCAAUUACCAUCUUCUCAAGGGCAACUGCAUUUUCUGGAUCACUUUGACGACCAUAACAUCCCCAGCUCCCAGCACUUGGCAAAAACUUGCGAUGUUUUAAGAAAGACAUGAUAUGAUCAAAUUCUUUUUUGGUUAAUUGAAAAGAUUAUGCAUCAAAUUAUUUUUUGCCAAGUAGAAUCUCGAAAGAGUCCCAAAAACUUAUGGCUGCAUCAGUGAGCUAAUCCCAACGAAAUGUGCACGGUCUUCGUCCCAAUGAAAUUACAGUCUAUUCGUUCAAAAUGUGUUACUUAUAGGUGCCCCUCACUGAUGCCGGUGCGGGUUUCUGAGAUGCCCAACAAUUACAGCUCAAAUCAUCCAACAGGGAUUUUCGGCCUUUCGAAAUUGUUUGCUGCCCAUAUCAAUUUCAAGGUCAUUUGCAGCUGGAUAAGCUUGAAUUCGGGCUGCCUAGGGAAAUGAUAGGAUAUUAUUUGUUAGUAAUUUUAUUAUUAAUUUUUUUAUUCCUGUCAAAUAUUAUGUUAAUCGUCGAUAUCUGCUCAUUCUUGGUAUUUGGAAUUAAUUUCAGAGAUUUGGAGCAGAAAACUACAAAAAAGGGGGACUUGCUUCAUAAGUGGGAGACUUCAAAAAAGUCCCAUGGACCUGGCCCACAAGGGACAAAGAAACGGAUUUGGCUGAAGAAGUGACAGGGGAUUGGAGCGGCAGAACGUUCUUUUGGAGACUUUGGCCCCCUAAUUCGUAGGGCCCAUCUUGUGCGCUUAGCUUCUUCAAUCCCGCGGGAGACCAAGGACAAGGAAAAGUGAGCACUAGUCAUUCGGCUAAAAAAAGAAAGUAACGCACGGAGGCUUGAAAACAAGAAGAAUUCGGCGGGCUUGUGGCUAAUUUGUGGGGACCACGGAAGAUAGGAAAGGCGUUAGUCAUCUUUGGCUUUAAAAAGAAACAGACGAAUAGGCGGCUCUUAUCACUAGCUCUUAGGAUAGUUUUAGUUUUAGUUUUUCCUUUCCUUCCCUUUGUCAACUACGCGCCAACUGUUCGAGAAUAUUUUUCAACGGAAAAAACAUCUUUUAUUCCUUACUUUCUAGUAAAAAACGUAAUGCCUUUACAAUCCAUUAAUUUGCAUAGAGAUUUAUUUAUGCGUCAUGGCUAAACCUUUCAUUUAGUCAAGGAUCAACUCAACGGUGCAGUCUCGAAAAUCUGUGAGAUCUAAUUAGUUUUCACGCGUUCUUUAAUUUAUUAAUAUUUACACGUUGUCUACUUGAAUUUUCAUGAGAUUAUUUUAUUAAUUGGAUGUCAAUGGCCCGAUGUUCAAUGUGAUUUAUUAAUCUCAUGCCAAUUUAGCCAAUUAAAUCCGUAAUUAUUGGAUUGAUUAAUAUUAGUGGCAACUGGUGUGUUUACACAUUAGGGGAACGUGCAAUCUAAUUUAAAUAAUUCCUGCUAUAUUCGUGCUAAUUAAUUAUUUAUUUUUAGUUGAAUUGUUUAAUUGUUUUCUAGUUUUAUUCUGGUGAAAUUCCCCCUUACCCAUUGGAAUUUAAAAGAGUCAAAUAUUUCCAGUCCCUGAGGAGACGACCCUACUCGUCACUGUCUACUAAUUAGUAAUUUUUGUCAACUAAUUAAUUCUAGUAUAUCGGAUUAAGCAAACUCUUCGGAAACAGGGUGAAUCAAGUAACCCAUUGCACACUUAGAGUCUCUGCUCCAGUACCUAAAAUUAAUUAUUGACUGCUUUUAAUAGUAUUUAGGUUUUUAUUAUUAUUAUUGCACAGAUUCAACGACCUGUCAGGAAAGCUGCUUUUCAUAUUGAUUAAUCAAUGGCCUAUGAGUCCAGCAACAAUCUAAAAGGGCGCACGUAGAUGUCUGAGGAUUGACCAUGAAGACUUGGACAAUUUUCUAACUGCAAAUUGAGUGAUUUAGUCCUCGGAUUUUACCUUCCAUCAGGGAAAUAUGCUUAUUUUUCCCAAUGAUUUUCAAAAUGACUUGAACCUGAUUCGACUGCUUCUACUUGAAAUUAGUGAUAAUAGUCCAGGGAUUUUACCCUUUAUCGGGAAGCAAAUGCUCAGCUUUCCCACAAAUUUGAAUGAUGGAUUGGCCUGAUUUUCACAUGCAUGCUGUGAAAUAUGCAGUACUACUGUGAGGUUGACAUUCAUCCAGGUCAAUGCAAGUGGAAAUUGUAAAUUAACAUGUUUAUGGGGUACAAUGUAAGUAGUUAGUUAACGAGCACCGGACAAAGGAUAGGAACGGUUGUCUCAAAUAAUAAAUUGCCUAAAAUGGGCCAACGCUGCUUAAUUUCAAAUUGUACGGAUGAGAUAACAUCUAUAUUUUUGACGUAACAAACAUAUAAGACCCGCGCGAAAAGCAUAUGACUAUAGCAUCUCUAUUGUAAAAUGGGCCAACACUGCAUUUUCUAGGAAGUACCUAACAAGUUCGAGACCACUUUGACGACCAUAACAUCCCCCACUUUAGGAUGUUGGAACGGACAACUGACACCUUUCUUGAAUUUCUGAUUGAGUUUUCUUACAAUAUCCGGGUUCCAUUUUACCUUCAGCUCAAACUUCUCCACGUUUGGUGAUGUCCUGAUCAAAGACGUAAAUCCAAUGAAGCUAACAUCUUCUGAUGCUUGAUUAGUUAGUAAGGUUGCUUGCUUAGGUAGGCGAGGAAGUUCAUGGAGCUUUAAUUUUUCAUAAGACAAGUAGGUGGAUAAGGUAAGAACCUCCAGGUUCAACAGGCAGAGCAGGAAAGCCAAGAAACAGCAUCCUUCGCUAAGUAGCCCGGGGGCAUUAUCAAGCACUAGAGACUAGAGAGUGCGCUUGAGUAAUUGCAGUGAGACUAGAUUUGUAUCCCAGAAAAUGACCGAUUUUAAUUUGGUACAAUAAACUAUCUCCAGAUGUUGCAACAUUGCAAGAGAUGGACCUGAGACUUGAAGAUUUAUCAAAUCGUAACAGCCUUGCACUACUAGUCACACAAACAAGCAAUGGGUAGUUUGUGCAAGUAGAAUUUCAAGAAUUUUGCCGGACACAUUUCACGCCCAUCAAACUCAGGGUUCUGAGGGAAUUGAACUCAACAGAUUCACCAGCAUGACCGCUCAGGCCAAUGGAGUCAAGUGAAAAAGUAUACGCGUUAAAGUAACAACGAAACAGCUCGUCAAACUCUUAACAAGUCCAAUUCUAGCCAAUCAACUCGCCAUGCAAAGGCAUACUGAAGCCACUGGUCAAUGUUCAUGGGAAUGUCUGUCCAAAUCAAAACAAACCCUGAAUUCAUCAAGCAAUGUCAAGGAUUUGUGUGAUAUAUAGCAGCACAUUGUUCACCCGCUUAAUAUACUUGAGCCUUACCCUUUUGCAAAUUUGCUAUGCUUUUUCACUGAUAUGGCUUGUAUUCCUGCCAUCUUGUCUAACGCUUUGGACGCAUCAACAUCAAGCACUUACUCUCGCUGCAGCUUUAAGCGGCAGAAACGAUAUAAUUCAACGAAGAAUAUCAUCCGGUAGUUCACUGAUCACAUCCACGACUUGUUGCUCUCUGUUUUUGCACUUCUUCAGGCCAUUCAUCGAUCUAGAAUCAGAUGCAAGUUUCACCCUUCGGGGCCCCCUCCAGUGACCCUUCGCCCCAUCAAGAUUAAUGCUUUCCCAAAAAUAUUCUAACCAUCAAAUCUAUAUGAUUCUUGCUUCCAUUUAUGUAAUUAAGAGAAUUCCUAAAAGAAUAAAAUAGGAAUUUAACUAGCUUUGAUGCUUCAUGUUAGGAGAUAAUUUUGUGGAAGUUAGUUUCCUUUUACAAUGGAAAUGUUUAUCAGAAUAUGCGUUGUUCUUAGGAUAGGCUUCAGAAAUUAUGACAACAAAAGGAAAGAAAAUUUUAAGUGGUGAAUUUAGAAAUUAAUCAAGUGUUGGUGAGAGAAUUUCUUGGAGAAUAGUUAUUGUAUAAACCCAUGAAUCUAAUAUUAUGAAAAGAGAAGUUAUGGAAAAGUAGUAGGCCUCAUCAAUUCAAGGAAUGAAAUCUUAUUGUCCGUAAUUUCAUUGAUCGCAUAUAUGAUGGGAUUAUCUUAUGCAAGUCGCUGAUGAAGAGGACCUUAAAAACAGAUAUUAUGGAAUGAAUUUGCAAAUUAGCCAGGGAGCAUUAUUAAUCGUCACAACCAAAAGAGAAAAAAGGAAAAAUAUAAGAAAGAAACCCCAAAAUUUAUACACGGGCAGAAGUCGAAUUUUAUGACCGCAAUCCUUAGAAAAUAGACAGAUUAUAUAUAUCCAGGCACUGAGAAAACUACCACCAAUUUGUCUUAAUUGCUUCUGAAUCUUUCACAUGGCAUGAUGGCUCUUUGGCCUUGUUUCUUCAAGAUAGACCUGCUGAAAAUGAAAAGGGAAACACAAAGCAUCAAUGCUUGCACAUGAGUUAUUUACGCAAAAAGCUUUAUAGUUAAAGUGCUGAUAAAUUCGCAUGCAGAAUUAAAGUCAAAGGGUAUCUACGAGAUAUUAAUUUAGGAAGUAAGCAAUAGCGGAACCAAGAUUUGAUAAGAGGGGGAGGGGUGGAGGAAUUUAGCAUAUAAGAAAAUCUUUAUAUGAGUUAUCUAGGUAAUAUAUAACAAGUUUUAUUUUCAUGCUUAUAUUUAAUAUAUAUAUAUAUAUUUUUUUUUUAAAAGAUAAUUUGUACUCCAAAUGAAACUUAACAUGAAUUGACCCUUUUCUUGCUUGCCAUAUGGUUUUCAAAUAGAAAAAAGUAAUUAUUUGUAAAUAAUAUGGUAUUAUUCAAACUACAUUUUAGAUGUUAUAAGGUUCAAAUUAUGAUGACGUUAAAAACAUUCUUCAAAUAUGCCUUUUCCUUUCCUGUUUUAUUCCCAUAAAAUGGAAAAAAAUCAUAAAUAAAUUUAUUUGAUUAUAGUUUUCCUACUAACAUUUUACUGAAAAAGUUUGAAAGUGUACAGUUUUAUUUGUUCUUAAAGGAAGUUGAUGGAGCAAAAAUGUAUUUAAAGAGGAGAGAGAAUAGAAAUAUGUUUAAAAUGAAACUUUGUUUUUGGCACCCGGGGGUGAAGAUAUUCAACAAAAGUUUUGAGGGGUAAAAGGAGUUAAAAUAAAUUAUAUAGGUCCAAAUGAAUUGUUUCAAAGGUUUAGCGGGGUGACAGCCCCUGUUGGUGUUCCUGGCUCUGCCUCUAGAAGUAAGUUCUUUUUUUUUUUCCCCUUUUUAUCCUCCCACCCCUCCUUACAUCUUUUCCUACUUCCAACUGCAAGAUUUAGAUUUCAAACUCUGAACCUGGCAAUGGAGAAAACAUCAAAAGCUCCUCCUUGAUCAUUGGGCCAAUCUCAGUGGUUAAGUUUAUUACUGUACAGUUGGAUGAAAAUGCAAAACAAAAUUGAAAAAAAGUUGCAUACAACCAAAAUGAUGAAGAAACGAGAUUUAUGUGCACAUAAGGAAAUCAAAAACACAUGGGAGGUAAAUGCAAUGAGUAGAGGGCAAAAUGUUUUGCUAACCAAUUAAGGAAGCUAGUUGUUGUGGAGAUCCCUAUUCUGGAGGAUAAAAGAGGAGCUUAAGGUCAGAGCCAAAAUUCUGCUGAAUUUCCCUUGCUGAGGUAACCAACUUGGAACUGGUACAAUACAGCUCAAUUUCUUGGAGAGUGGAUAUUUCUCCAAAUUCAGGUGGGAGAGCCUCAAGGACAGUGCAGUGCCGUAGGAAAAGGCUUUCCAGCUUUGGAAAAUGAUCAGCUGAAGUCUCCCAUACCUUCAAAUCUGUAUGACCUAUAUGCAAUACUUUCAGAUUUGGAAAACCCUCAUCUUCUGUUUUCCAUCUUUCUCCCUUGAAUGCAUUGUCUUUCAAUUUGAUCACCUCAAGCAUCUCCAAUUUCCCCAGUGUAGACAUAUGUACCCAAUCAAGCGAGGUGUUUAGUAGGGUCAACUUUUUCAGCCUUCUUGGAAACUUGGUUGGUGAAGGAAGUUGUUGUAACUCGAAUGUUUGAUCAGAAUUCAAUAGCUUCAGAUUUUCAAGCUCUUGCAAUCUGGAAAGACUAUCAAACAAGCUAGAUUCACCUCUGGCAUUGAAAAGACCAGCUAAUUUCCCACGGAUACCCAAUUUCUUGAGCUUAGGAGUCCUGUCAAACACUUCUUUCGUGCAACUUUCUGGUGAGAUUGUAGAAAGGGUUCGAAGGUUUGAACUGCUCAUGGCCUCGUCCUUGGACUUCUGCACACAUGCCGAUGCAUUAGUGUGCAGAUGCCUUAGAUGAGUCAUUUUCCAAAUAUCUGCUUUUAUAUCAAGGAUAAGAGAUGAUGUUUCAAUGAUAACAGUCUGCAAGUUCCAAAGAUCCAACAUUUUCUCAGGAAGGACCUUGAAAUGACAACAGAUGGCAAUAUACUUCAGAAGAAUAAGCUGAAAUAGGCCCGAAGGAAAACGAGUGAGAAUUAUUGAUCUGAUUUCCAGAACUCUAAGCAAUUUGAAGGCCCUAGGGAUGGAUGAGACAUAUUCUACAGGCAUAGGGAUUUCUUCCUUGGCAAAGCAGAGAAAAGAGCGGACAUGUGGACCAAAUGGUCUUGAUCCUAUGUAAUCUAAAACAGAAUCAUUAACACAUAUGCGGCGGAAAGCAUCCGAAGAAGAGCUUACAGAUUGGGAAAACUCUUUCAUUUCAUGGAAAAGAUUUUCUUUUCUUGCCUCCAUCUUGCAAAAGUCACGCAAUGUGUCAUGAAUUCGACAAGUUUUAAUACGACCAUCCGAACUUCUGCGUCCCACCAUCACUAAAUUCUUGUCAACUAGGUCCAUCAAGUAAUACUCCGCUAGAUCUUCUAAGCUAAUACUUUGAUGGCUUCCUAUAAAACCUUCAGCAAUCCAUAAUCGCAGCAAUCUCCAGACAGGGAUAUCAUAGUCUUCUCGAAAGACCCCCAUGUAGAGAAAGCAUGGUUUUAAGUGGUGAGGCAAGUUAUUGUAACUCAAUUUGAUUACAUCAAACAUUUGCGACAUAUCCCUUGCAAUAUAUUCUGUCAUACCUUCAGAUACCCUCUCCCACCAGCGAAGGUUGUGUCUAUGAUUCAACAGUAUACCUGCUAGUACGACAAUAGCUAACGGCAAUCCGCCGCAUCGCUGCAGAAUGCGUACUUCAUGUUCCUCGAGCUCUUCUGGGAGUUCACUCUGACCGAAAACCUUAUGCCGUAGUAACAUUCGACUUUCCUCUGGAUGCAGAAAUCGCAUAUAAUAGGGUCCAAUCUCUGCAUUAGCAUGAAGUGCUACAGAUUUGUUUUGGCUAGUUAUAACCACUCUGCUGCCGUUACCAUCGUCAGGAAAAGCACGCUUGAGAUCAUCCCAUGCUUCCGUGGUCCAAACAUCAUCCAGCACAAUCAAGUACCUCAUCUUCUUUAAUUGCAUAUUAAUUAGUUGCGCCAAGUCUUCGUCUGGCAUUUUUUUCCUUUCUUCAGUGACAUGGCCAAAGCUGUUGAGAAUUCUCAGGAGCACUUCCCUUCUAUUGUAUUCUUGAGAAACAUUAACAAAUGCUCGAAGAUGGAAAUUAUAUGCAACUUUUGAAUCAUUGAAUAUCUUUCUAGCUAGUGUUGUCUUCCCCAGCCCAAACAUUCCAACAAUUGAGAUUACCUGUAGCCGCCGUGGUCCCCGAGUGAGAAGGUCGAUCAUUUUUUGUGACUCAUCCUCAAGGCCAAUGACAUUUUCUUCCUCCACCAUAACGAUCUAUUACAUGAGGAGAAAAGUCAUCAAAAAGAGUUGAUGCCAGUUCAGGAUGAAACAAGAUUAAUCAGGUACAUGCAAACACAAUUGAAUGGUGAAAUGAUCAAAUACGAAUAAAACAGAACUAGAAAUUACUAGUCUUCCACCAUAACCAUAAAAAGAAAUUGAUUGGUUGCAAUGGGUCUUGACGCUAUUAGGUAUAGCAAUGAUAUUGGGAGGGGCCAACUCUUGUCGGAAAACCCAAAUGUUGCAAAUUUUCAGGUAAUCGAAAUCUUAGUCAAUAUCUAAUUAAAUCAAUCAGUUUGAAUUUUUAAGUUGCAGUCACCAACCUUUUUUGCCCUCUGCUUUAAUUGUUUAGGUUGACAAACCAUAUAGGUAACAAAGUAACAUCUUAUACCAUCAACAGAGUCAGAUCUAAAUGGUAGUUCUUGCUCAGAAGAGUACAAGAGGAUUCACUAGUACAAAUAAAUGAACAGCUCGCACCCAUAUACGUAUGUCGCCAUUUCUGAUUCUAGGAAAGCAGUGACAAAAAGGAUAAAUUUUCUUGCAAAGAAUUUCUGGAUUUUGGUAGGAGUGAAAAGUUGGACAAAAAUUUAAAAAAAAAAUGCUGUAUUCAUUUCUUUUAUUGGCGUAUUUUCCUUUUCUGUUUCCAUCCCAAAAUUCAUAAUCCAUACUUACAGAAAAUGAAGCAAGCUGUCAUUUACCUUUUCCCUCUUUGGACCCGUGCUGGAGGCUUCAACAAUUUGCAUAGAUUCAAUCCCAAGAGGCACCAUGUUCUUGUAGAUGUCCCGCACAUACUUGGUCACUUUCUCGAUCUGUUUCCUCCCACGUCGAAGUUCUGAUGCAUCAUCAACGGCGUGGAGAGCCCUACUGAUUGAACUCCUACGUUUUUGCAAGGAAACACGAACUAUGUAUGUCUCUAUCGCAUCCUCAGCAUCAUAAACCACAGACUUGAUCUCGCCGACCACGUUUUCAAGGACUGCGCUGUUGGUUUGCUUCUGUGUACAGUCCUUGAUGAAGGCUUUCAGAAGCUCAAGAUCUUUGCCAAGCACUUCAACGUUGUCCUUCACUCCACUGAUCAAAUCAGAUUGGUAUUGGAUUAACUCCUUGAGAUUUCCUAACAGAAAUUCCACUGCACUAUCUGGAACAUUAGCCAUAUUUCUUCUUUCUUUCUCUCGGGAGGUUUGGGAGUGAACAAUUUGAGAGUACUAUUCUUUCAACUUUUUCUGAACCUUGAAGUGGUUACAUGAAUAAUGUGCAUUGAACUGGAAAGUUGACUCGGCCUUGGAGAUGGUAUAAUAAAGGGCAAAUUAUCUGAUUGGCCCUUGAACUCUUUGUCUAGGUAAAAAUAAGCCCCUCAUCUAUUUUUUGUUGACUUUAAGCCCUCGAACUUGAUAAAUUGGGUACCCGUGACCCUUUUAGCCAGUUUCUUUGAUUUUAUAAGUGGAAGGCCUAUUCACACGAAUGCCAGUGUGCUUUUUCAAAGGGUAUUUUUGUCCGCAUCUUCUAAGCAAAAAGGGAACCACCCAUCCCCGCCCCUCCCGCCCCUUUCUCUUCUGUUGCUUCUCCUCCUUCUCCACCACCUCCCCUGCCCCCUCCCUCUCCCUGAUAUCUUUGCCACUAUCACCUCCCCCUCCAACUAUUUUAGCCCCCAAGAGACAACGCCGCCCCAGUGUUCGAUUAGGUGAAAUCGGCCACCAAUCUUUCGAAAAUCAUUCCUACCAUCCUCGUCGCCCCUCCAAAACUUGGCACUUCCAUAGAGACCCUUCUCUCGCUGCCAAAACCUCCAAGUCCCGACCUUUAACCAACCUCGUCAACUGUGCUGCCCCCUGCCCCCGACCGCAGCUACCACCACGAUAACACCAAUAGUUACGCCUUCGACUUCUGCACUAAAAGGACCAAGACCAAGAAGCCCGCCACCAAGCAGGUCAGGUCUAAUUGGGCUUCUGCUCCCAAAUUCGAAGCUGUCGUACCCAACGGAGGUUUAAUGCUUCCCCAAAACGAAUAGGGAUUUACGAAUAAUCAACAUUUGAUUAAAAGUUAGAACUUUUUUAUUGUUUAACUUGGAUUUGGGUAUUACAUUAGAGUUUGACUUGUUUGGAUGAAAAGGGGUAAGGAAAAUGCAGUGUGGUUUGACUUAUAGGGGGGAUGAUAUCGGAAGGCUGGAGGUCAGCCAUGUGAGAUGUUUCAAACAAGUGAGUGAGAGAAUAGUAGAAAAAAGCAUAGUGGAAGGAGGAGGAGAAGGACAGGUGGGAGAGGUGGAGAAGAGAGCAGAAGUUUGCGGGAGGGAAUCUAGUGGCGUGACUACUUCAGUUCUACUACCACUACCUGGGCACCGUGUUGUGCUAUUGAAAGUGGUUCUCCAGUCCGGUUGUCCUUCUAACCCUUUUACCCCCUUUCCUAUCGUAGUUCGACUUGUUUGGGCGGUGUGUUUCAACUUGUUUGGGCAGGUAAAAUAUCGUAGUUCGACUUGUUUGGGCGGUGUGUUUCAACUUGUUUGGGCAGGUAAAAUGGAAGGAAGAAUGAGGAGUUGUUUUCUUUUUGCUUAGAAUAUGUGGACAAAAAUGCCCUUUGAAGAAACAUAUUGGCAUUCGUGUGAAUUUGCCUUAGGCUUGCAAAAUCGGAGAAACUGGCUAAAAGGGUCAUGGGUGCCCAAUUUAUCAAGUUCGAGGGCUUAAAGUCAGUGAAAAAUAGAUGAGAAACUUAUUUUUACCUAGAUAAAGAGUUCAAGGGCCAAUCAAAUAAUUUGCCCUAUAAUAAAUGUUUCUUUACACAGCAGGUUUUAGAUCAGGACGAAUACGUGUGAGUAAAAAUUUGAUGGCAUCAGCCAUCAGGCCAUUAGGCGGGCCUUCCCCAGUCCUGGACGCCACUAGCUGAUAAUUAGUACAUUUUCCAAUUUUUUAAUGGAUUAGUUUAAGUUAAUUGUUACCCUACAUUAGCUCCAAUGACGGAGCUAGGGAGGCAUGGCAUCUUGUAAGUUUUGAAAAUUUUAAUUCAAAAUAUGUAAAUAUAUGUAUAAAAUAAAGUUAGCUCCCUCUAAUUUUUUUUAUAAUUUUAAUUUGUAUUAUGAAAGUUUAUAUAUAUAUAUAUAUGUAUGUAUAUAUGAAUUAGCCACCUUUGAAUUAAUUUUUGUCUUCAAAAAAAGUUAUUUAUUUUUAUUGUGACAAUUAUUUAACUCUCAAAAAAAAUUAAUCAUAAAAUUUGAUGAUCCAUAGUAUAUUGAUCCAAUUUGACAUAUUAUAAUAAAAAAACCCAAUUCAUAAUUAUCAAUGGGUUACAUCAGAAACAAUUACUGUGUUGGCUAGUAUACAAAUAUACAAUUUAGCUCAAUUGAUUAGACUUGCUUAUCUUCUUCUUCAUCCAAUUACAGAACAGGCAUUUUCAAUUAUGAAAAUAAUCAAGACAAAGUUUCGAAACAAGAUGAAAGAUAAUUUCUUAAAUGAUAUAUUGCCUAAUUGUGUACAUAGAAAAGGAAGUUGCUGGAAAAUUUAGCACUGAUUCAAUCAUAAAUGAAUUUAGUUAUAUGAAAGAACGUAAAACUCAUUUUAUUUUUAAGAAAAAGGUUAAAAUUUCAAAGUAUGUUUUAUCUUUUUUUUUAAUUAAAAAAGUUACUUUUAUAUCACAUAGUUAUAUAUGUGUGUGUGUGUGUCUAUAUAUAUAUAUAUAUAUAUAUAUAUAUAUAUUGCAUAGGCGACAUAUUGGAGUACGUUCUCAUAAUGUGCAACUUGGAUGGUUUGUGAUGUUAUAAAAUAUUUAAUCAAAGGUUAUUUCUUAUCUUAAUUUUCAUUAUGACUGUGUUGCAUAUUUAUAAAAUAAACAUACCUUUAUAAUUAAAGUUGAUAUUUGAUAUUUUUAGAUGUCAUAUAUUUAAAUAGAUGAAAAUUAUUUUGAACAUAAUUUAUUAAAAUAAUUUUGUUAGGGAAAAUUUUGACUCCCAAAGAAAAAGUCCCUGGCUCUGUCACCGAUUAGCUCAGACCAUGUUAACUUUGUGACAAUCAAAUUGGAUUAGUUUUAAAGAUGAAUAGUUUGGUUUACUCUUAAUCUUGCACUUUUAUUUAAUAAUCUUUGCCGUACGAAAAGCAUAGUACGCUGUGUUUAUCAAAGAGAAAAAAAAAUUGAAAAAUAUAAGUGUCACAGAUCAUGUUUUAAUUUUUUUUUCCCCUUAGUAGGGGAGGGGCGAGAAUAGUGAGAAAAAAAUUUGAAAAACUAGUGAGAGCGUACUUUGGAUGUUGUAAAGACAUUUCUUCGUAGAAUUUGUACCAUUUUCAAUAUACGAGUCGAAGGUGUUUCAUAUUUGUGUGAUUAAUAGUAAUCUCAUCUUCUCUCACACACAAAUAUUUGUCAAUGUCCAAAGAGGCAGCUGCGGACUCCCGUAGAAAAGCCGUCUUGGCUUUUGUCAAAAAACUUUUUCGUCAAUCUAACUUUGUUGUUUGAUUUCCAGUAAUUUCGAUUAUUGAAAAAAAAAAAAAAACUUUUUCGUCAAAGGGGCACUUGACUCACAUAUGAUUUCAUGUGCUAACACACAGUUUUUACGAAGUGGAGUCAAAGAUCAAAGUCAUGAUUUCAUUCUAGAAUUUGUUUAACGGAUUUAUAGAAACUUGGAUUAAAAUUGACAAUAAUAUCUACCUGAAUCAUCAUAUUAGAAUCUUAAUGCCAAAGGAUAAUUAUAAAAUAAGGAACAAAAAUGAGGACAACAAUAAUUAAACAUUUUUGUUAAUUUGUACCCUUUCAUUAACUAAACUAAUACUCAUAAGUUUGUAAAUAAGUCAUAUUGAAAAAAAUUGUGCAUAUAUUAAAAUUAAGAAAGACUGCAUUAUUAUAAGUUAUAUUGAACAAAUUAACCAAAAUACUAACAAAUUCAACUCACAUGACAUGAAAAAUAAUAAUCUUGUAAAUAACAUUUAUGCAAAAAUUUUUUAAAAAAAUUGGCAUGAUAAUUCAGGCCACCAGAAAGCAAAUCAAAAUCCAAAUCUAACAAUCUCAAAUCCAAUUCACAUGGCAUGGAAAAUAAAAAUCUCGUUUUUCUUGGCAUGGCAAUUCAUGCCAACCAAAAUCCACAUAAAAAACAAAAAGGGUAAUCCCAUUCAGUUAUAGUUUUGAAUUUUUUCGCACUUAGGAAAAAAAUUAGUAACAACAAAUAAAAAAGCAAUAAGAGUACCAUUCAAAAUUUUGACACUUAUAGCGAAGUCUUUAGUUUUUGGUCAUAUUUUAUAUUUUCAAUUAUGAAUUUUACUUUCAGUUGGAAGAAGACACGUCACGACAAAGUAACCUAGAAUGACCCUCCUAUGGUUUUGCCAUAUGACCCCUCUAACGUUUCAAAAUGUCCACUUCACUCACUUAUAGUUUUAUAUAAAGUGAAAAUUUGAUCAAAAAUAAUUAUGUAACGUCGUUAGUUGAUAUAUCAAUAGUGCCCUUACUUAAAUGCUAAAUUAAUCAACGGCCUAACCACCAUGUAUAAAAAUAUAAGGGGAUUAUGUGAAUAAAUGCAAAAAUCAGAGAGACUAUAGUGAAUAUUUAUACAAAUCAUAAAUGGAUUAUAUGGAUAUUAAGGUUUUAUUACACGCGCUUUUAAAGAGCAUUUGGUAUAAACAUCGUAACUGAUUGUGUGUUCCAUCAAUUUUUUCACUUUACAUAAAAUCACAAGGGGGUUAUGUGAUUAUUUUAAAACCAUAGAGGAGUUAUCUAACAUUCUGUAAAAUCACAAGGGGGUAAUGAGUAAUUUGCCCCUAAAUUUACUAACAAAUCACAAGGUUAAAUUGUAAGUUUUCAAAUCAUAAUAGUUGAUAUAUACAAUCGCUCAGGCAUAGAACGGUUUCCAUAUUUCACAAAAGAUUUUCACUAAUGCCCUCCCUGUAUUCACAUUUAAUUGAGUGGAUGAGACAGAUGAAGCUAAAAUACCGAGAAUACAAUUUUCAUGCGAUCAAGUGUCAUCUGGAGACCAAAAAACAGAACAUUAACUUGAAAUUACUGAGCCAGGUGAAAGACAGUACUAAUCUUGCAUACACUAUUAGUGUAUCAACUAUUAGUUUUGAAUAAAUAACAACUAUAUCAAAUUUUAAUUUAAAAUUUAACCUUUAUACAUAUGUUAUGAUUCAACAGUAGGUCAGUGUACAUAUAAGACUUACUCGUGAAAGAUGUCCAAAAAAGAGAAUUUAGAUCACCGGAAAAAGAAACAAAAGAGAUAAAAAUUUACACCAAGCAGGAGUGGCUUGCAUAUUUACAAUCUGAAAUUUUGUGAAUGCAAGACUAGCUCUCCAUGACAAUCAAAUAGUUGAGAGAAUGAAAAAGAUUUUGAUCUUUUGCACAAAUUAUGCUCAGCUGAGAUUUUUUAAUUUCCAGGUCAGCUUGUGAAUUCUUCAAAUCCUGAAAUGUUCUUC
rnacentral:lncRNA from 1 species